CGCGCGCGGCCGGGCGGGUAGACGAUUGCUCCCUCCCCUCCCCAGCGGCCCAGCCCUCCGCCCCUCCCCUCCCCUGAGCGGCUGAGCCCCCUCCCAUCCGGCGGCCGUGCUCCCCACCUCGCAUCCGACAGAAUGCGAGGACGCCGUCUCCUAAACCCCCUCCCGCUCCUCCGCACCCCUAAACCCCUCUCCCGUCCCCUCGCCGCCCACUUCCGCGGCGCCCGCGCCCGCGCGGCGGCCCCCGCCCAUCCGUCCGCGCCCUUGCCCGCGCCGCGCUGCGGGCCCCUGGCCGAGCCCGACGUCGGCAUCUCCCGCUUCGCCUCCACCGUACCGGGCUUCCGCGGCGCCCUCAAGCAGCGCUACUCCGACUUCGUCGUCCACGAGGUCGCCCGCGACGGCGCCCUCGUCCGCCUCACAUCCUUCGAUCUCCCCGACGUCGAUGAGUGUGGAGAUAAUGCGGAGGACGGCGACGCCGACGAGGACUACUCCCGCGCGCUCGAGUCGUUCCGGUUGCUCUGCGGCGAAGCGGAUCACGACGCGUUGAGGGGAUUGCUGGGGAGUGUUUUGGACGGAGGAGAUGGCAAUUUGUCGCCAAUCAUUCUCUCAGCUGAUGCCGAUAAGGCUCAUCGUUCGGAGGUGCACGAAUUCAUCAAGAGGAAUUUCAAGUUCCUGAUCACGGAUACUGUUGAUCACAGUGAUGGGAUUCAGAAAUGUAUUAGGGUGCGGUUGGGGUCAGGGCCACGCGGUGGGAGAGGGAGGACUAAGAGAGGCAUGGGCAGUUCAGGCUGGAGAGAUGACAGGCCGUUUGAUAGUAGAGGCUCUACAUCCUGGCCUUAUCACCUGGGGAAGUUCCUGAGGUUUCACCUUUACAAGGAGAACAGAGACACGCAAGAGGCACUAGGAGUUAUAGGAAAGAUGCUAGGGGUUCAGCCAAGAUCGUUUGGAGUUGCGGGGACAAAGGAUAAACGUGCUGUUACAACCCAACAGGUGACGCUUUUCAAGGUACAUGCCAGUAGGUUAGCCGCUCUUAAUAACAAACUUAUAGGUAUCAGAGUUGGAGACUUUAGUUACGUGAACGAGGGUCUUGUUCUUGGACAACUCAAAGGGAACCGAUUUGCAAUUACUUUGAGGAAUGUUGUUGCAGAAUCGGAUGAUGUGAUAAAGGCUGCUGUUGAUGGCCUGAGUAAAAAUGGAUUUAUCAAUUACUACGGCUUACAGCGCUUUGGUAGUGGUUCAGUACCUACUCACAUUGUUGGUGCUGCUUUGCUUAGAGGAGAGUGGAGACAUGCUGUCAGCUUGAUUCUUGGUACAAGGGUACAUUAUAAGGGGCAUGGUGAUAUUGAUGUAGCACUUAGUGGCAUUCCCCGACAUCUCACAGUUGAGAGAGCUAUGCACAUUUACUACACAUCUCCUGGAUACAUGGCAUCUAAUUGGUCCUGGACUCCUGGUGCUUAUGGAGUCCUCUUAUAUAUACAAAGCAAGAUGUCAGCGGUUCUGCUUCAGCUUCAGCUGCAAGUUAGGAAGCUUGGAGAGCUUCAGCGUUUGAAGAAGUACCCUGGCAACUAUCUACAAGCACUAAUGGCUAUACCUAAAACAUUGAGACUGAUGUAUGUACAUAGUUACCAGAGUUACCUAUGGAACCACGCUGCAAGUAUGAGAGUUGAAAAGUAUGGUAUUUUACAAGUUGUAGAGGGCGACUUGGUUUACAAAAAGGGGUGCUCUCUUGGAGAAGCAGCUACAGUAGAUACUUUCGAUGAUAAUGGUAGCCACACUAAUUCACCAGAAAUGGAAAUGUCUUAUGAAACACUUCCUGAAGAAGUGAUCCAGUCUUUGAAGAUAGUUGAUUCUGAAGAUUUAUUGAAGGCAGUUUACACUUUUGAGGACGUUGUCCUCCCUUUGCCUGGUUCAGAAACAUUGCUUCCUAGGAAUGAAGUUGCUGGGAUUUAUCAUGAAAUAGCCAAGAAGGAUGGGAUUAGCCUGAUAGAGAGCGUCCAUGGGAUCAAGGACUUCUCGAUUACAGGAAUGAGAGGAGGUUACCGUCGAGUACUCCAACGACCUAUUGAUUUUAAAUGGGACCUAAUGACUUACACAGAAGACAAUGUACCUUUAGUGGAAACUGAUUUAGCUGUUCUAUCCAAAACACAGCCAUCAGAAGCAAAUAAGCUGCUAUCUGAUGGGACUUCGAGUUGCCCAUCAUGUGAUUCUAGCUUGGAUGCUUCAUUGUACACCUCUGGGUCAACCACUGAUGGCACUGAAGCUAGCUCAGAGAAAACCAAAUCUAUUGGCAUCUCAGAUCUGUUACCCAAGAAGCUGGCUGUAAAAUUAGAAUUUACUCUACCAGCAUCAUCCUAUGCCACAAUGGCCAUCAGGGAGUUGACGAAGACUUCAACUUCAGUUGCUUACCAGAAAACAUUGAACUGCUGAGCCUUUUCGGUAAAAUUAUUAUUCACAAAAGUUGAUCUCCAUUGGGACAAGACAUCAUGCAGGUUUGGCAGCUUGGAGGAUCUCUCUACUGGAAACGACUGCUUUCGUUUGAAUCUGACAUCCAAGUUAAACUAUUUUCUGAAAGAGAAGUCGGCGCCGUGGAAGGACAAGCACCGUGGGUGUGUGGUUUCAGGCCCGGAGUACACGACGGGCGAUUCUCUUACCAUCAGCUGUGGCAACUGUCUCGACUGAUGAUAAAAAAGAACGCUGCGCAAAGGGGCCCGAGGUUCGAAUUGAUGCUCGUGUCUCUCACAUCCUCGCGCCCCUCUGAACGUCAGUCGUUGUUCCCGAAAGAUUAUUCUGCAGCCGCCGUGCAGCGUGCACCGUGCGCGGGUUGGUUGACCACCUGUUUAGCAAUCAUCCUGUACCCCCAUUUCUUAGCUUAAUCUUUCUGUAUUACUUAAAUCUUCUGUGAUACAAUAUAAUCCAUGAUUUGACGAGCAUCCAAUUGAUGUGA